rnacentral:rRNA from 1 species
GUCGANACGGGUAGCCGGCCUGAGAGGGCGACCGGCCACACUGGGACUGAGACACGGCCCAGACUCCUACGGGAGGCAGCAGUGGGGAAUAUUGCACAAUGGGCGAAAGCCUGAUGCAGCGACGCCGCGUGAGGGAUGACGGCCUUCGGGUUGUAAACCUCUUUCAGCAGGGAAGAAGCGAAAGUGACGGUACCUGCAGAAGAAGCGCCGGCUAACUACGUGCCAGCAGCCGCGGUAAUACGUAGGGCGCAAGCGUUGUCCGGAAUUAUUGGGCGUAAAGAGCUCGUAGGCGGCUUGUCACGUCGGAUGUGAAAGCCCGGGGCUUAACCCCGGGUCUGCAUUCGAUACGGGCUAGCUAGAGUGUGGUAGGGGAGAUCGGAAUUCCUGGUGUAGCGGUGAAAUGCGCAGAUAUCAGGAGGAACACCGGUGGCGAAGGCGGAUCUCUGGGCCAUUACUGACGCUGAGGAGCGAAAGCGUGGGGAGCGAACAGGAUUAGAUACCCUGGUAGUCCACGCCGUAAACGUUGGGAACUAGGUGUUGGCGACAUUCCACGUCGUCGGUGCCGCAGCUAACGCAUUAAGUUCCCCGCCUGGGGAAGUACGGCCACCAGC